rnacentral:rRNA from 1 species
UACGUAGGGUGCGAGCGUUGUCCGGAAUUACUGGGCGUAAAGAGCUCGUAGGUGGUUUGUCGCGUUGUUCGUGAAAACUCACAGCUUAACUGUGGGCGUGCGGGCGAUACGGGCAGACUGGAGUACUGCAGGGGAGACUGGAAUUCCUGGUGUAGCGGUGGAAUGCGCAGAUAUCAGGAGGAACACCGGUGGCGAAGGCGGCUCUGUGGCUACUGACGCUGAGGAGCGAAAGCGUGGGAGCGAACAGG